rnacentral:rRNA from 1 species
UCCGUAGGCGGUGUGGCAAGUCGGUAGCGAAACCUCUGGGCUUAACCCAGAGACUGCUGCCGAAACUGCUGUGCUAGAGUGUGAGAGAGGCGAGUGGAAUUACGGGUGUAGCGGUGAAAUGCGUAGAUAUCCGUAGGAACAUCCGAGGCGAAAGCGGCUCGCUGGAUCACAACUGACGCUGAGGGACGAAAGCUAGGGAGCAAACAGGAUUAGAUACCCUGGUAGUCCUAGCCCUAAACCAUCAGGACUUGGGGUUUGCCCUGUACGGGGCAAGUCCCGUAGCUAACGCGUUAAGUCCUGCGCCUGGGAGUACGGUCGCAAGGCUGAA